rnacentral:tRNA from 1 species
GUCGCCGUAGCUCAGUUGGAUCAGAGCGCGGGCCUCCGAAGCCCGAGGCCGCCCGUUCGAGUCGGGCCGGCGACACCA